UGGGGAAUUUUGGACAAUGGGCGCAAGCCUGAUCCAGCCAUGCCGCGUGAGUGAAGAAGGCCUUCGGGUUGUAAAGCUCUUUCGGUGGGGAAGAAAUUGCACUUGUUAAUACCGAGUGUAGAUGACGGUACCCGCAUAAGAAGCACCGGCUAACUACGUGCCAGCAGCCGCGGUAAUACGUAGGGUGCGAGCGUUAAUCGGAAUUACUGGGCGUAAAGCGUGCGCAGGUGGUUGUGUAAGUCAGAGGUGAAAUCCCCGGGCUCAACCUGGGAACUGCAUUUGAGACUGCACGGCUAGAGGAUGGCAGAGGGGGGUAGAAUUCCACGUGUAGCAGUGAAAUGCGUAGAGAUGUGGAGGAAUACCGAUGGCGAAGGCAGCCCCCUGGGCUAUUACUGACACUCAUGCACGAAAGCGUGGGGAGCAAACA
rnacentral:rRNA from 1 species